CCUUANACCUAGGGGGACCGGCAACUUGGAGGAAUGUAUANGAAUAGCUACUGGCAUCAUCCUUUUCUCAUUUUAUUCUUCUCGUUUUCUUCUUCUUAAGAAGAAAAUGAGAAGAAUAAAAAGAGAAAAGUAAAGAUGAUGCAAGAUCGACUAUGUCGAAUAAAAUUCUAGGUAGAAUUAUGAUAAUGACAUUGUCUGCCUAUGUGUCUUGACCAAAUUACGUGCCAGCAGUCGCGGUAAUACGUAGAAGACUAGUGUUAUUCAUGUUUAAUCGGUUUAAAGGGUACCUAGACGGUAAAUCAAGCUUUCAAAGAAAAAGAAGACAAAAUUGAUAGUAUAGUGAUAAUUAAAGGACUAAUUUACUAGAGUUACUUAUGAGGGGGUAUUAAAGUACUGCUGGUGUAGAGAUGAAAUUCUGUCAUACCUCUUUUCAAAAGAAAAAUGAUGGCACAGGUAUAGGCGAAGGCAUCCCCUUAUGUGAUAACUGACGUUGAGGGACGAAGGCUUUGUGUAGCGAACAGGAUUAGAUACCCCAGUAGUCUAAGCAGAAAAUGAUGAAUGUCAUAGAUUAGAUAUAUAAGUUUAUUCUAUAAAUGAAAGUGUAAGCAUUCCACCUCAUGAGUAAUUUGGCAACAUUGGAACUGAAAUCAUUAGACCGUUUCUGAAACCAGUAGUGAAGUAUGUUGUUUAAUUUGAUGUUCCGCAAAAAACCUUACCACAAUUUGAAUAUUUAUAUUUUUUUAUUGUUUUCUUAUUGUUUUCUUAUUAAUUUCUUUUAUUAAUGAAAAUAAAUAAAGAGGCAAUAAGAUAUAUUUACAAGCGUUGCACGGCUGUCUUCAGUUAAUGUCGCGAGACUUUGGUUAGUUCCAUUAAAUUAACGUAAACCCUUACUUUAUUUUUAUAUAGAGUAGUUCCCCGCUAUAUUGGAUAUGAUAACAGGGA
rnacentral:rRNA from 1 species